AGUCCAAUUGCUGGAUCAUAUGGUAAGAGUAUGUUUAGUUUACAAGAAACUACCAAACUGCCUUCCAAAGUAGCUGUACCAGUCUGCAUUUCCACCAGCAAU
rnacentral:pre_miRNA from 1 species